CACAUUCUCAGGCUUCCUCACUCAUAUGGCUGGCUAAUCGGUGCUGGCCAUUGUCUGCAGGCUCCACUGCGACUUGGAGCUGGGAGCCUUGGUUCUUUCCAUAGGAUUCUCUCUACAGCCUGCUUGGGCUUCUUCAGAACUGGGGGGCUGGGUUCUAAGAGAACUGGGCAGAAGCGCAGGGUAAUUCGGUGCUCUAACCUCAGAAGUCACAGAGCUCCGCUUCAUUAUUUCAGCCAAUCACAGAAAGGUUCAUCCAGACUCAAGGGGAGGGGUCAGGGACCCUAUCACUCUAUUGGAGGAAUGUCUGCUGCUGCUGCUGCUAAGUCACUUCAGUCGUGUCCGACUCUGUGCGACCCCAUAGAUGGCAGCCCACCAGGCUCCCCCAUCCCUGGGAUUCUCCAGGCAAGAACACUGGAAUGGGUUGCCAUUUCCUUCUCCAGUGCAUGAAAGUGAAAAGUGAAAGUGAAGUCGCUCAGUCGUGUCCAGCUCUUCACAACCCCAUGGACUGCAGCCCAUCAGGCUCCUCCAUCCAUGGGAUUUCCCAGGCAAGAGUGCUGGAGUGGGGUGCCGUUGCCUUCUCCUGGAGGAAUGUCUAGUUGUACUGUAAAAAGAGCAGGCGGAUGGGAGAUGUUGUUUUCACCCUCUUGGGAAAAUACAGACUGCCACAGUAGGAAAUGUAAGGGAUGCUAGGUGCAAAAACACACAUGAUUCACCUGCCUCAUCAAGUCCCUUUGAAUUCUUCCAAUUCCCACUGGUGUUUAGAGAGGACCUAGAAUGCACAAGGCGCCAUAAUAGAUGCUUGAUGUAUAAAGAUGAAGAGGACACAGUCCCAGGGGAGCUACGAUGAAGCAGAGAAAGGAAUUCCAACAGCAGAUGCGUGACAAGAUGGAGCUGAUUAAAAGAAGACAAGCAAAGUCUCAGUGCCAGACCACUUCAGAGAUGAAGCAUUCCAGAAAGGCAUGUAAGAACUCCUGUCAGAAACAGGGAGGAUUUCACAGCCCCUCUUGCAUAUUAAUGAACUACAAGGAACCUCAGUGUAGUGGUGCAGAUGCAACAUUUCAGGAGCCGUGCCAGGAUUCCACGAUAAAUACCAGCUCCAGGGGAAAUACAUUUCAUGAUAGAAUUAGGGGAUCAGCCAUCUGAGACGUC
rnacentral:lncRNA from 1 species